AGAGAGGAUGUCCCUGAUCCAUCCAUUCCUACCUGCCUCACCCAGCUCAUCAGGCGGACUGGUCACCAGAUGCCCGGGAACGGCUCAGCGGAUCCCUGCUGUUCCACAGAGUUCUCUGAGCAGCCAUCCAUCUUCCGCAGGAAGAAAGACAGGAAUCUCAGAGCAAAUACAACAAUGUUCAAAGUUACAGACAUUCAAGGUGCUGUUCUGAGUGGAGUACGGACAGAACAGCCUAGAAAUCUGGCACCUUCCCACCACCCUCCUUCCUUGGUGGCUCCUAAGUCACCUCUAAGAAUCUUCUCAGGUAGAAAAGGUUUCUCAAACACAACCCACAAAG